ACAAUCCCUUUGUGAACCCCCGGAAGGAUUAUUG
rnacentral:rRNA from 1 species